UUUAGAUUGUUUCUAGUGGCGGACGGGUGAGUAACGCGUGGGUAACCUGCCUUAUACAGGGGGAUAACAGUCAGAAAUGACUGCUAAUACCGCAUAAGCGCACAGAGCUGCAUGGCUCGGUGUGAAAAACUCCGGUGGUAUAAGAUGGACCCGCGUUGGAUUAGCUAGUUGGUGAGGUAACGGCCCACCAAGGCGACGAUCCAUAGCCGGCCUGAGAGGGUGAACGGCCACAUUGGGACUGAGACACGGCCCAGACUCCUACGGGAGGCAGCAGUGGGGAAUAUUGCACAAUGGGGGAAACCCUGAUGCAGCGACGCCGCGUGAAGGAAGAAGUAUCUCGGUAUGUAAACUUCUAUCAGCAGGGAAGAAAAUGACGGUACCUGACUAAGAAGCCCCGGCUAACUACGUGCCAGCAGCCGCGGUAAUACGUAGGGGGCAAGCGUUAUCCGGAUUUACUGGGUGUAAAGGGAGCGUAGACGGAUGGACAAGUCUGAUGUGAAAGGCUGGGGCUCAACCCCGGGACUGCAUUGGAAACUGCCCGUCUUGAGUGCCGGAGAGGUAAGCGGAAUUCCUAGUGUAGCGGUGAAAUGCGUAGAUAUUAGGAAGAACACCAGUGGCGAAGGCGGCUUACUGGACG
rnacentral:rRNA from 1 species